AUUGAACGCUGGCGGCAGGCCUAACACAUGCAAGUCGAGCGGAAACGAGUAUCUGAACUUCGGGGACGGAUAACGGCGUCGAGCGGCGGACGGGUGGAGUAAUGCCUAGGAAAUUAGCCCUGAUGUGGGGGAGUAACCAUUGGAAACGAUGGCUAAUACCGCAUAAUGCCUACGGGCCAAAGAGGGGGACCUUCGGGCCUCUCGCGUCAGGAUAUGCCUAGGUGGGAUUAGCUAGUUGGUGAGGUAAUGGCUCACCAAGGCGACGAUCCCUAGCUGGUCUGAGAGGAUGAUCAGCCACACUGGAACUGAGACACGGUCCAGACUCCUACGGGAGGCAGCAGUGGGGAAUAUUGCACAAUGGGCGCAAGCCUGAUGCAGCCAUGCCGCGUGUGUGAAGAAGGCCUUCGGGUUGUAAAGCACUUUCAGUCGUGAGGAAGGUAGUGUAGUUAAUAGCUGCAUUA
rnacentral:rRNA from 1 species